AAAGGAUUGUAAAUGCACCAAUCAGCACUCUGUCAAAAUGGACCAAUUAGCUCUCUGUAAAAUGGACCAAUCAGUAGGAUGUGGGUGGGGCCAGAUAAGGGAAUAAAAGCAGGCCACCUGAGCCAGUAGUGGCAACCUGCUGGGUUGCCGUUCCCCACUGUGGAAGCUUUGUUCUUUUGGUCUUUGCACUAAGUCUUGCUGCUGCUCACUUUUUGGGUCUGCGCUGCGUUUAGGAGUUGUAACACUCACCAAGAAAGUCUGCAGCUUCACUCCUGCGGCUAGCGAGACCACGAACCCACUGGAAGGAACAAAUAACUCCAGAUGCGUCGCCUUUAAGAGCUGUAACACUCACCGUGAAGGUCCGAGGCUUCAUUCUUGAAGUCAGCGAGACCAAGAACCCACAAAUUCCGGAUACAAUGCCAUUGCACUCCACCCUGAGCUAUGGGAGUAAAACCUGAGCAAUGGG
rnacentral:lncRNA from 1 species